AUCUAGCCAUGGGCAGGUUGAAGGUUGGGUAACACUAACUGGAGGACCGAACCGACUAAUGUUGAAAAAUUAGCGGAUGACUUGUGGCUGGGGGUGAAAGGCCAAUCAAACCGGGAGAUAGCUGGUUCUCCCCGAAAGCUAUUUAGGUAGCGCCUCGUGAAUUCAUCUCCGGGGGUAGAGCACUGUUUCGGCAAGGGGGUCAUCCCGACUUACCAACCCGAUGCAAACUGCGAAUACCGGAGAAUGUUAUCACGGGAGACACACGGCGGGUGCUAACGUCCGUCGUGAAGAGGGAAACAACCCAGACCGCCAGCUAAGGUCCCAAAGUCAUGGUUAAGUGGGAAACGAUGUGGGAAGGCCCAGACAGCCAGGAUGUUGGCUUAGAAGCAGCCAUCAUUUAAAGAAAGCGUAAUAGCUCACUGGUCGAGUCGGCCUGCGCGGAAGAUGUAACGGGGCUAAACCAUGCACCGAAGCUGCGGCAGCGACACUAUGUGUUGUUGGGUAGGGGAGCG
rnacentral:rRNA from 1 species